rnacentral:ncRNA from 2 species
AGAAUAUUGACAGAGUCAGGUGCCCGUAAGGACUUAAUAGGGAAGACCGGUGAAAGACCGGCGCGGUCCCGCCACUGUAAUGGGGAGCAAGCUUAUGAUAUGCCACUGGGAUGAAACCGUCUUGGGAAGGUUUAAGCAAGCCAUGAUCCAAAGCCAGGAGAACUGCCUGAGUAACAGUCACCGA